CCAUGCGGUCCCGAAACGUUUGAUCAAUUGUAAAGUGUCUGGAAGCACCUUGAAUAAAUGUGGGAGCCCCCCUUUUGAAAGCAAGCACAGGGAGAAUUUGAAGGUGAAAUCCAAUUCCCACAUUGCAGUAAAGCCUUCUGUGUCUCUUGAUUCCGAGCAAAUAGUCGCUCUUCCAUGUUACAUCCAAUGUAUCCGGAGGCAUCCCAAGUGACCUGGCAAAAAGUGACCCCCAUCUUCUUUCAAGUAAAGUUCCGUUAUCUCUGAUUGGAAGAGGAUACGACGGAACAAUCCCCACCAGAAAACAUAGGACGACAACAGUAGACAACGUCCAGUGAAUGCCGCCUCUGUGGGACAUAGUGAUGGGAAGCCUUUGGGAAACGGCAACCCAGUGCAACUUCUGGACACGUGGUCAGAAUUAAUGGCCCUAAAAAUACCUCCCUUCUUGUUUUUCUCUCUUUAGCAUGGCGGCAAAGGAUUAUUUUUGGCAAGCAGAAAGAGAUAGCUGACAUCAAACUAAAGCCUUGAAACAGUUGAGUAGGGAAGAUAGAGAGAUCAGGAAACAUCAAAGUGUUGGGGACCAUGUUUUAGAGUUCCUGAUUUCCAAUCUAGGGCUACCUAGAUAUAUUAGCCUGACCUAUCUUUAUAGAUCAGAGGCUGGCCUAUUCCACAGCAUCAUUCUGACAUCAGCGGCAUGCCGAGGAUAAAAUAGCAGCACAGUAAUGCCCGUACCACUGACCUGCUCUCCCCAAAGCCUGCUGUGAGCUGAAAUAAAUGUCUCCACUAGACAUCGGAACAACUAUCUGCAGUUAUAAUAUGUAUAUGAAGGAACCCUUCAAGGUCCAAACUUGUGUGAUGGUCAUAUGUCUGGCAGGCACUUUCCUUAUUUAGAGAAGGAGAGUAAAAGCAGUUCUUUGCCUCAUCACCGAGCAAUGAUAAUCUUGCAAGCCACUUCCUCACUGCUCUGUCCCCUGAGUUAACAUUAGGGUAGCUAAAUAUCAGUCAAGGCUAAGGGAAGCAACAUCUCUGCCCUGCAUGACUGGAAGUGUGAACUGGCAAUAAAUUCUCAUUUGUAAUAAGA